rnacentral:rRNA from 1 species
UUUUGUGGAGGGUUCGAUUCUGGCUCAGGAUGAACGCUGGCGGCGUGCUUAACACAUGCAAGUCGAACGGGAUCCGCAGGAGCUUGCUCCGGCCGUGAGAGUGGCGAACGGGUGAGUAAUGCGUGACCGACCUGCCCCAUACACCGGAAUAGCUCCUGGAAACGGGUGGUAAUGCCGGAUGCUCCAGUUGGAUGCAUGUCCUUCUGG